UACGUAGGGGGCUAGCGUUGUCCGGAAUCAUUGGGCGUAAAGAGCGCGUAGGCGGCCCGGUAAGUCCGCUGUGAAAGUCAAGGGCUCAACCUUUGAAUGUCAGCGGAUACUGCCGGGCUAGAGUCCGGAAGAGGCGAGUGGAACUCCUGGUGUAGCGGUGGAAUGCGCAGAUAUCAGGAAGAACACCAACGGCGAAGGCAGCUCGCUGGGACGGAACUGACGCUGAGGCGCGAAAGCCAGGGGAGCAAACGGG
rnacentral:rRNA from 1 species